rnacentral:lncRNA from 1 species
UAUCACCAAGUCGGAGAGAUGGAUCAAACCCAAGCGGUAUAGGACGUCUACGUUCUUCACUCGUCCUUCACUUACGUAAAGCCUAAGCGCUUGAGCGGGUUAUCACCAAGUCGGAGAGAUGGAUCAAACCCAAGCAGUAUAGGACGUCUACGUUCUUCACUCGUCCUCCACUUACGUAAAGCCUAAGCGCUUGAACGGGCUAUCACCAAGUCGGAGAGAUGGAUCAAACCCAAGCGGUAUAGGACGUCUACGUUCUUCACUCGUCCUCCACUUACGUAAAGCCUAAGCGCUUGAGCGGGCUAUCACCAAGUCGGAGAGAUGGAUCAAACCCAAGCAGUAUAGGACGUCUACGUUCUUCACUUUCUUUCAAAGUACCUAUUGUAAAAUAUAUAUAUAUAUGUGUCAUCAUAUAAAAUACAUAAAAUAAUAAUAAUAAUAUAAAUAAAUAAAUAAAAAUUGAAAGAGUAAUAGAUGUGCAGCAAAAAAAAAAAAAAAAAAAAAAAAGAAGCUGAAUGGGGGGCAGCCUAGUAUGCCCACUUUUCCAACCCAGCCAACAUGAAGGCCCAGCAGUUGUCGCAGCCCAUGUCGCGCCAGCAAGGCCCAUCGUUGUAGCCCAUGUCGCCUGCCCCAUGCCCCAGCGCCAGCCAGCUCGUGGCCCGCAUCUCUUCCUGGCCCGCUCACUCCAGCUCCAGCACAAGGCCCAGCACCUCCUUUCCUAGCGUGAGCCCACCUUGCGCGCCAGGCCUGGAGCCUCCCUUCGAGCCCAUAUCGCGCCUGCCUCCAGCACUAGCCCAGCGUCUUCUUCUCCUAGCGCAAGCCCACCUCACACACAAGGCCUGACACCUUCUUGCCUUCACCUUGAGCCCAGCGUAGGUGGACUCGAACCUGGCAGCCCUUCCAAGUUUCUAGCCAUACCUCAGACCCUAGCGCACACCUCCAGCGCAUGCAGGCUCGAUUAUGCUAGUCUUCUAACCCUCCAGCAAUGCACGCAAGUCUGAACCUGCCAACCUGCUUACCCCCAAUCUUGCUUCCACCAAAAAAAAAAAAAAAGCAACUCUCACCACUUUGGUUGCUGAGAAUUCGGAUGACGCAAACUUUAAAGUCGUAGACCUUCUUGUCAACAAGAGGAGUUUUUUUGUUGUUCUAUUUGGUUGAU